rnacentral:rRNA from 1 species
AUACAGCGAAACUGCGAAUGGCUCAUUAUAUAAGUUAUCUGUUUAUUUGAUAGUGCCUUACUACUUGGAUAACCGUGGUAAUUCUAGAGCUAAUACAUGCUAAAAACCCCGACUUCGGAAGGGGUGUAUUUAUUAGAUACAAAACCAAUGCCCUUCGGGGCUCUUUGGUGAUUCAUGAUAACUAUACGAAUCGCACGGCCUUGCGCCGGCGAUGGUUCAUUCAAAUUUCUUCCCUAUCAACUUUCGAUGUUUGGGUAUUGGCCAAACAUGGUUGCAACGGGUAACGGAGGGUUAGGGCUCGACCCCGGAGAAGGAGCCUGAGAAACGGCUACUACAUCCAAGGAAGGCAGCAGGCGCGCAAAUUACCCAAUCCCGACUCGGGGAGGUAGUGACAAUAAAUACUGAUACAGGGCCCUUUCGGGCCUUGUAAUUGGAAUGAGUACAAUUUAAAUCCCUUAACGAGGAACAAUUGGAGGGCAAGUCUGGUGCCAGCAGCCGCGGUAAUUCCAGCUCCAAUAGCGUAUAU